GUCCACUCAAGACUCAGGGUCCUGCCCUCAGCACCCCCACUUCCCUGCCCUCGUCUACUCUCGAUGCUCCCACUUGCCCUCCCAGUGCUAAGCAACCAGAGGAAGCCCAUGGCCACCAAAAAGGCUUUCCUCUCCGGCUAGAUCUCCAGGAUCCUGCUUGUAUGUUACAAAUCAAAAAGUUUGGCCUAGGCUGGACACAGU
rnacentral:lncRNA from 10 species